rnacentral:tRNA from 1 species
AACUUUAUAUUCAAAAAAAUGAUAUUAAAUUGCAAAUUUAAAGGUAUUGAAUUUUUAUUUAAUUAAGGUUU